rnacentral:tRNA from 1 species
GCCGGGGUAGCUCAGUCGGUAGAGCAGCUCACUCGUAAUGAGCAGGUCAGGAGUUCGAAUCUCCUCUUCGGCC